rnacentral:rRNA from 1 species
CCUGAUCCAGCAAUGCCGCGUGAGUGAUGAAGGCCUUCGGGUUGUAAAGCUCUUUCGCACGCGACGAUGAUGACGGUAGCGUGAGAAGAAGCCCCGGCUAACUUCGUGCCAGCAGCCGCGGUAAUACGAAGGGGGCUAGCGUUGUUCGGAAUUACUGGGCGUAAAGGGCGCGUAGGCGGUGUGUCAAGUCAGGCGUGAAAGCCCCGGGCUCAACCUGGGAACCGCGCUUGAGACUGGCACGCUAGAGUUCGGGAGAGGAUGGUGGAAUUCCCAGUGUAGAGGUGAAAUUCGUAGAUAUUGGGAAGAACACCGAUGGCGAAGGCAGCCAUCUGGACCGACACUGACGCUGAGGCGCGAAAGCGUGGGGAGCAAACAGGAUUAGAUACCCUGGUAGUCCACGCCGUAAACGAUGAGUGCUAGACGUCGGGGCCCUCAGGGCUUCGGUGUCGCAGCUAACGCGUUAAGCACUCCGCCUGGGGAGUACGGCCGCAAGGUUA